AGCCCCUUGGUAAUCAAGUCGUUUCUCACAUAUAUUUUAAAGAUAGGUACUCUUACCAAUUGUAUCCCCAUACAAUUUCCUUAAGUAGCUCUAUGUCAAAUAGUCCCCUGGUGGUCAGGUCGAUCCUAUUGGCAUAGUUGAGUUCAACCAUCAUGAUAGCAAAGAACUUAUUAAAUUUUAUACUCCCCCGGUUAGUCCAGGCGUCUAGUGUAAAAUUGAAUAAUUCUUUCAAUCCAUACACCUAAUGCAAUAAAUAAUUUUAACAUAUUCUCGAACUAUAAGUCUCCUGGUAGUCAUGCCGCUCCUUAUAAACAAGAAGUAAGUAAAAUUAAUUACCUUGAUGGAUAGCUUUAUAAUAAAAUAUCUUAUAUUUUAUUAUUUAAGAACUCAAAUUUUAAUAAGAGGGAAUUGUUACAUAACCAAUUUUUAAUA
rnacentral:lncRNA from 1 species